ACCUACAUUAUUAGAUUAGGUUAGAUUGGAUUAGAUUCAAGUAAUGCCCUUGCUCAAGUAGUCAGUCACCUGAUGAAAUCGCUGUCAGUUUGAGAACUCCAUUGUUUACGAGGAGUUUUAUCUCCUGAAUGUUGAAGAAAACAAGAAGUCCUAUUCGCAGAGGCUGCAUUGGCGUCCGGGGGAGUUUGCGUUUGAAUUUGACCAUGGAGAGGAGAAGUGAAAGGGGCGGGACGUGAUGCAUUGCGUACAGAUGAAAUCUUGCCUUUGGAGGAGAUAACAUAAACGGUGCAGAAAUCUGUGGCUCCUUUCGAUACGUUUGUUGGAACAUCAGACAUCUUGAAUCUUCUGCAUCAGGAAAUAGGGCAGCACAAAAAAUCUUAGCAAAAUCAAAAUGGAAUGUAAUCAAAUGAAAUGUGACAUUCAGACCUGAUGAAUCCAUGGCGCGAUGGUGAACCGAGAACUAAAUUCUCGAUUGCGGCAUAAGAGAUGUAUUCUACCAAUCCUUUAGCAAUAUCUGUAUCUUCUAGUACUACAUCAAGGCUCUGUACCUGCUCUUAUUAUGCAAUUCUUUUCAUAUUCUGCACUACUGAUCUAAUCUAAUCUAAUAUAUGUAAUGACGAGGAAUGGAGAGCUUACAUCCUUGCGAGUACAGAAGCAAUGGAAGGUUAGAAACAAUUCUUUGGUCUGCUUAUCAAUGACUUGCUGCCUGUGCGCUGGUACGUCGCCAUUAGAUGCUAUCAUCCCAGCUGUGUGGUUAAUGAAAAGUGUGUUAAGAAAGGAGAGAUGAAAAUGGAGUGUAUUAAUUAAUUAAUUACAUACAUGGAGCAGAAAAGGAGGAUGCAGCAGAUCUAGAGUUUAAGACGUGAAUUAGUAUGACAGUUUGGCCUUUCAAGAGGAGGUUAUCAAUGGCCCAUUUGAGAGCUUGUUGGCUGCCCUUAUCCCUGUCGAUGGCCACAGCAACCAGCCCGUUCCCGCCCGAUUUCCUCUCCACGUUGCCUACUACACCUGGUCCUCCUCCUGUUGUCGCCUUCUGGUUCGGGAGCCACAUAUCUCCAGGAUUUCGAUCGAUCUAUCGAUAAUAUCAAUAAUGUACACGAUCUAUCCUUGCUUAUUCAUUCCUCCCCCAAGAAUUGGGGUAUCCAUUCGUGAUUUGUUGUUAAGAAACAAAAUAUCUGUCUCUUCUUC